UUUCCAGAAAGCACAAAGCGAUCUUCCCAGCGGUAGUUUCUCACAAAUUACUGCAAGCUCUGCAUCUCAAAGCCAGCGUUCUACCUCCACUAACAGCGGGACGAUCGCUUCUCAAUAGAUUCCUAUGAGGAACAAAAGGUCUUCGCACAGCGCAGACCGUCAUCCAGCCGACACACGACGAGUUCCCCGAGACUCAUCAAGGUGAAACAUGUAACGCUCCUGCCUAAUGGAAUCAGGGAGGACUGUAAAACCUGGGAAAAUCCAUUAGCAUUCCCGUAUCAACAUCUUCUGCUUGCUUGGCAUACGUACAAUAAAUGAAGCCUUCCUGAUUACAAAUAUCAGCUUCAAUUGAACCGAGUACACAGUAAUACUUGCAGAGUUAAACGGUAUUGGGUGUUGUUAUGUGGUGCAAUUUUUUAAUCUAAUGUCACUUUUACACUGAAAGUGUAAUAAAUAAAUAAAUAAAUAAAAUAAAUAAUCUCUGCCCUUCAAGGACUGGUGCCUAACUGAGUCUCGACGCCAUUUUAUCUUCGUGCAACAGAGACUGUACGUUGGAUUGCUUUGCUCUUUUUUGCACAGCAUACUUCAGAAACACUAACUGUGGGUGUUUUUGUCAGGUUUACGAUGUUAACUUUGUGAGGUGCAAUGUUAGAGACGCACGUUUCUAACACGUUGAAAGUUUCGAACGCAGUUAUCCUGAAAUAAGAAUGGGACAGCAAUGCUGCACCAAUCGCUCUCCGACCAUCACAACAAGGCAGAAUGGGACCAGGAAAAAUGUCCUCCUAUCCGGCUAAAAAACUAAUUCUGUCACCAUCUAUUGUCUGCCUAAAAAUAUAGCCCAGUGUGUUGUAUAUGAAAGACUAAUAUGAAUAAAAUCAAUUGGAGAGCUAAC